rnacentral:snRNA from 1 species
GAUUGAACUUAGAUGUCAGAGUC